rnacentral:rRNA from 1 species
UACGUAGGGUGCGAGCGUUAAUCGGAAUUACUGGGCGUAAAGCGUGCGCAGGCGGUUGUGCAAGACAGAUGUGAAAUCCCCGGGCUCAACCUGGGAACUGCAUUUGUGACUGCAGGGCUUGAGUGCGGCAGAGGGGGAUGGAAUUCCGCGUGUAGCAGUGAAAUGCGUAGAUAUGCGGAGGAACACCGAUGGCGAAGGCAAUCCCCUGGGCCUGCACUGACGCUCAUGCACGAAAGCGUGGGGAGCAAACAGG